CCUGGCUCAGAACGAACGCUGGCGGCAGGCUUAACACAUGCAAGUCGAGCGAGGUCUUCGGACCUAGCGGCGGACGGGUUAGUAACGCGUGGGAACGUGCCCUUCUYUAAGGAAUAGCCACUGGAAACGGUGAGUAAUACCUUAUACGCCCUUCGGGGGAAAGAUUUAUCGGAGAAGGAUCGGCCCGCGUUAGAUUAGAUAGUUGGUGGGGUAAUGGCCUACCAAGUCUACGAUCUAUAGCUGGUUUUAGAGGAUGAUCAGCAACACUGGGACUGAGACACGGCCCAGACUCCUACGGGAGGCAGCAGUGGGGAAUCUUAGACAAUGGGCGCAAGCCUGAUCUAGCCAUGCCGCGUGAGUGAUGAAGGUCUUAGGAUCGUAAAGCUCUUUCGCCAGGGAUGAUAA
rnacentral:rRNA from 1 species